AGUGAACGCUGGCGGUAGGCCUAACACAUGCAAGUCGAACGGCAGCACAGUAAGAGCUUGCUCUUACGGGUGGCGAGUGGCGGACGGGUGAGGAAUACAUCGGAAUCUACUUUUUCGGGGGGGAUAACGUAGGGCCACUUACGCUAAUACCGCAUACGACCUACGGGUGAAAGCAGGGGAUCUUCGGACCUUGCGCGACUGAAUGAGCCGAUGUCGGAUUAGCUAGUUGGCGGGGUAACGGCUCACCAAGGCGACGAUCCGUAGCUGGUCUGAGAGGAUGAUCAGCCACACUGGAACUGAGACACGGUCCAGACUCCUACGGGAGGCAGCAGUGGGGAAUAUUGCACAAUGGGCGCAAGCCUGAUCCAGCCAUACCGCGUGGGUGAAGAAGGCCUUCGGGUUGUAAAGCCCUUUUAUUGGGAAAGAAAAGCAGCAGGUUAAUACCCCGCUGUUCUGACGGUACCCAAAGAAUAAGCACCGGCUAACUUCGUG
rnacentral:rRNA from 1 species